rnacentral:misc_RNA from 1 species
UUUACUGAAGAUUAGCAUUGUGUUG